rnacentral:rRNA from 1 species
AGUGAACGCUGGCGGUAGGCCUAACACAUGCAAGUCGAACGGCAGCACAGUAAGAGCUUGCUCUUACGGGUGGCGAGUGGCGGACGGGUGAGGAAUACAUCGGAAUCUACUUUUUCGUGGGGGAUAACGUAGGGAAACUUACGCUAAUACCGCAUACGACCUACGGGUGAAAGCAGGGGAUCUUCGGACCUUGCGCGAUUGAAUGAGCCGAUGUCGGAUUAGCUAGUUGGCGGGGUAAAGGCCCACCAAGGCGACGAUCCGUAGCUGGUCUGAGAGGAUGAUCAGCCACACUGGAACUGAGACACGGUCCAGACUCCUACGGGAGGCAGCAGUGGGGAAUAUUGGACAAUGGGCGCAAGCCUGAUCCAGCCAUACCGCGUGGGUGAAGAAGGCCUUCGGGUUGUAAAGCACUUUUGUUGGGAAAGAAAAGCAGCAGGUUAAUACCCUGCUGUUCUGACGGUACCCAAAGAAUAAGCACCGGCUAACUUCGUG